AAGGUACUAGUAAAACGGACAUUACACUGCCUUGUCAAGGCAAAAUUGCAGGUUAAAAUCCUGCGUAUCUUA
rnacentral:tRNA from 1 species